GUGAAUCAUCGAAUUUUUGAACGCAAAUUGCACUCUUUUCGGAGAGUAUGACUGUUUGAGGGUCAGCAUAAAAAAAAUCGACAUAGUCGCUGGUUUGCGGUGACAUUCGUCGGAAAUUGGAUCAUAUUAAACAUUUGGGUUUUAAGUGGAUUAAAAUUUUAUUUACGAAUGAACGAACGUUUAUAAGAUUUACGUCUUAUACGUUUAAGGUAUAGAUCUUUAUU
rnacentral:misc_RNA from 1 species